AAUAGAUACCCUGGUAGUCCACGCCCUAAACGAUGAAUGCUAGUCGUCGGGGAGCUCGUCUCUUCGGUGAUGCACUUAACAGAUUAAGCAUUCCGCCUGGGGAGUACGGUCGCAAGAUUAAAACUCAAAGGAAUAGACGGGGACCCGCACAAGUGGUGGAGCAUGUGGUUUAAUUCGAAGAUACACGAGGAACCUUACCUGGCCUUGACAUGGUAGGAACCCUUAAGAGAUUAGGGGUGCUAGCUUGCUAGAACCUACACACAGGUGCUGCACGGCUGUCGUCAGCUCGUGUCGUGAGAUGUUGGGUUAAGUCCCGCAACGAGCGCAACCCUCGUCGUUAGUUGCUAACAGUUCGGCUGAGCACUCUAACGAGACUGCCUUCGUAAGGAGGAGGAAGGUGAGGGCGACGUCAAGUCAUCAUGGCCCUUACGGCCAGGGCUACACACGUGCUACAAUGGGGCGUACAAAGAGCUGCAAUACUGCGAGGUGGAGCCAAUCUCUUAAAGCGUCUCUCAGUUCGGAUUGUU
rnacentral:rRNA from 1 species